GACGAACGCUGGCGGCGUGCUUAAUACAUGCAAGUCAACGAUUUUUAAGAUAGCAAUAUUUUAAAAAUAGUGGCGCACGGGUGAGUAACACGUAGAUAAUCUGCCUUUAGGUCUGACAUAACUCGUCGAAAGACGGGCUAAUAUCAGAUAAAACAAUAACUUGGCAUCAAGUAAUUGUCAAAGCUUCGGCGCCCAAAGAUGAGUCUGCGGACCAUUAGGUAGUUGGUGGAUUAACAGCCCACAAGCCAACGAUGGAUAGCUGGUCUGAGAGGAUGAUCAGCCACACUGGAACUGAGACACGGUCCAGACUCCUACGGGAGGCAGCAGUAGGAAUAUUGCUCAAUGGGAGAAAUCCUGAAGCAGCAACGCGCGUGAAGGAAGAAGGGUCUUCGGACUUGUAAACUUCUGUAGAAGAGGAAAAUACUCGAUAUACUCGAAAUUAGAUU
rnacentral:rRNA from 1 species